rnacentral:rRNA from 1 species
UACGUAGGGCGCAAGCGUUGUCCGGAAUUAUUGGGCGUAAAGAGCUCGUAGGCGGUUUGUCGCGUCUGCCGUGAAAGCCCGGGGCUUAACUCCGGGUCUGCGGUGGAUACGGGCAGACUAGAGGCAGGUAGGGGAGAACGGAAUUCCCGGUGGAGCGGUGAAAUGCGUAGAGAUCGGAAGGAACGCCCGUGGCGAAAGCGAGGUCCUGGACGUUUUCUGACACUGAGACGCGAAAGCCAGGGGAGCGAACGGG